AUUGAACGCUAGCGGGAUGCUUUACACAUGCAAGUCGAACGGAGUGGCGGACGGGUGUGUCAUAUAUCGGAACGUGCCCAGUAGCGGGGGAUACCUACUCGAAAGAGUGCUUAUUACCGCAUACUUUUGGUGCGGCCUAUACCGGCUUAGCUAGUUGGUGGGGUAAGGCUCACCAGGCCAACGGUCCGUAGCUGGUUUGAGAGGACGACCAGCCACACUGGGACUGGGACAGGGCCCAAACUCCUACGGGAGGCAGCGUUGGGGAAUUGUGGACAAUGGGGGAAACCCUGAUCCAGCCAUCCCGCGUGUAUGAUGAGGGCCUUCGGGUUGUAAAGUACUUUUGGCAGAGAAGCGGUAUCUGCAGAAUAAGCACCGGCUAACUACGUGCCAGCAGCCGCGGUAAUUC
rnacentral:rRNA from 1 species